UCUUAACACUUUAGGUAGUUUAAUUAAACCAAUAUAUACUGGCGGUCUUCAUAAAAUAGAGAAACUCGCUCUAUAAUCGUAAAUACCCGUUAAUUUUCACUAGACUUAACAGCCUAUAUACCGCCGUUUAGAAUUUAAAUCCUAAUAAUUCUAUUCCCUACAAAGAUAUAAAUCAGGUCAAGGUGUAGCCCAUAAUCUAGAAAGAGUAAGUUACAAUAAAUAAGAUUUAAGGACUUGAAAUAAACACUAAAAUAAAAGAGAAUUUAUAUGUACAUAAAAAUUAAAACUUUAUAUUGAACUAAAUAAUGAACGAUGC
rnacentral:rRNA from 1 species